rnacentral:rRNA from 1 species
UUGAACGCUGGCGGCAGGCCUAACACAUGCAAGUCGAGCGGUAACAGAAAUUAGCUUGCUAAUUUGCUGACGAGCGGCGGACGGGUGAGUAAUGCCUGGGAAUAUGCCUUGAUGUGGGGGAUAACUAUUGGAAACGAUAGCUAAUACCGCAUAAUGUCUUCGGACCAAAGAGGGGGAUCUUCGGACCUCUCGCGUCAAGAUUAGCCCAGGUGAGAUUAGCUAGUUGGUGGGGUAAGAGCUCACCAAGGCGACGAUCUCUAGCUGGUCUGAGAGGAUGAUCAGCCACACUGGAACUGAGACACGGUCCAGACUCCUACGGGAGGCAGCAGUGGGGAAUAUUGCACAAUGGGCGAAAGCCUGAUGCAGCCAUGCCGCGUGUAUGAAGAAGGCCUUCGGGUUGUAAAGUACUUCAGUCSUGAGGAAGGGUGUGUAGUUAAUAGCUGCANAUCCUUGACGUUAGCGACAGAAGAA